AGCGAACGCUGGCGGCAGGCCUAACACAUGCAAGUCGAACGCUUCUGCGGGCUUCGGUCCGUAGCGGAGUGGCGCACGGGUGAGUAGCGCGUGGGAACCUGCCCCUCUUGUGGGGGAGUAACCGAUGGAAACGGUACGGCGUAAUAACCGCCAUAAAGACCGGACGGAAAUACCGGGAAACGGAAUUUAUUCGCGAGAGGA
rnacentral:rRNA from 1 species